ensembl:lncRNA
CGUGGCUGCUGCGUUAAUAUGCACCGUAGAAAGGGAGCAGGGGAUACCUCUUGCCCGCGGAGCGAAAGUAACCACGACAGCGUCAGUGUGAGGGGACGGGUUCCUUCACCCCCCCCAUCUCCCCCAACCCCUCGUCUCUCUCUGUCUCUCUCUCUGACAGCGUCCAGCUUUGGCGCUCUGCUCAGUUAGUUAGAGAUACACGCUGAGCCACUGGAGCGCAAGGAAAGAUAUGUUGGCUACAGCAGGCAGGGGCUUCCACCACUUCAGCAACGGUGCUUUUUUCAAUUUUUUGUUUCAGCAUGAAACAUUUAAAAGCCAGGACAUCAGAUAAAUAUGUUUUACAUUGCUGAGCAGUAUAAAAGUUUCAUAGAGAUGAGCCUUUAUCAAGGCUUGACAAGGGGUUAUUGGCACAAGAGGCUAGACUGAAAUCGCUUUUUUUUUUUUAAGCUUUGCGGAAUACAUUUUUAAAAAAAAGGUUGAAAUGGCCACAUAAAACCUGCCCAUCAACUGACUUCAUUCUUCAACCGGACAGCGUCCUUCCUCACAGACGAGAAGAAGAAGAAGACAAGGGGAAGCAGAGGUGAGACGUCAACAAAGCAGAGAAAGAAGACGAGCCGAGAGGAGGUGGGCAGCACAGUUUUCAGCUCUUACGAGACUGAGGAGGAGAAAGUGACGGCAGCUAGAACUUGGCCACUAGUGAGAUGAAAUUUGGGGAGGAGACGCUGGAGCGCUGCAGGGUACGACAUCCACACAGAGCCCUAAAAGUGGACCGCCUGGAAGACGAGCCCUCCCUCUCUGGAUCCUGUGCCCCUCCACAGCCGAAGGAUGAGAGGGGUCGACUUUCACCUUAGUUGCCGGGGAUGUCUGUGCACCACAGGAAGACGCCAGCCUCCAGCAUGUUAAAUGUUAUGCUACUCCUGAUGCUUUGCAAGAUUAGUCUGAGACGAAAACUGCAGUCUUUUCCCGGGGAAAAUGGUAAACACUCUCCACACUGAUGAGGAAAAGGGAAUCCAAGACAAGGAAAGUAAGGAGGAGAGCAUCUUGGCCAUGCUGGGGAUCAUUGGAACCAUUCUCAACUUGGUUGUCAUCAUCUUUGUCUACAUCUACACCACCCUGUAGGUCUCUAUCUCCUGCUGUACUUCAUCAGCGGGCAGAUGAGAGAUCAUCUGUGUCAAUGCGAUGGCCAUAUUGCAUCCAUCCUGCAUCCCUUUAAACAACUUAGUCGAUGGGAAACGGACUCGUUCCUUUUGCCUUUACUGGUGAAAUAGUCCAACAUGCCGUGAGACAUUUAACUUGUACAUAAAUGCCCGACGAUACCGCUUUUCUCAACCACAUGGACAUCAAGGAUUGCAGAGGGUGGACGUGAAAAUAUGUAUCAGAUGUUUUAUUGACUGAAGUGUUGAAAGUACCUAAUAUGCUUCCAUGUGAUGGAAUAUAAGGAUGUAUAGAGAAGGUAGGUUUUUGCAAUGAUAUAUAUUCAUUUUCCUCAAAGAUUUUCACAGUAUAUGACAACAUACAUCGGUUUCUAUGAGGAUUAAGUAAAUUAAAGAAAAUAGAUAUUCAAAUUGUUAUUGAGGUUGAAUUUUGUUUUUGUACUGUAUUCCUCACUGUUUGGAGUAAAAAAAUGAUUUUGGAUGGUGUUUUAUUUCCUACAAUUGUCCUACAAAAGUUGUAUAUUGUGCAUUUACUAAAACAAACUUUGUCAAUGGCAUGAAGUCAGUUUUCAAAUGUUAGGAAUUCAGACAGAUCAGUACAAACUGUCUCAAUAAUUUAUAAUACUUAAGUUUAUGACGCAUCACUUGAGGGUCACCGACACUUUCUCACCGAGAGAAGAUUAAUUAAUUUGUGGGAAAAUAAUGUUAUUAUUUGUCGAAGUCGAGGCUGAAGAUCACCAUCGUUGUUCUUGGGGGUAAACAUCUUCAGACGUUUUCACAAAGAUCAUUUCCUCACGUAUGGGUCUAUCAGACGCUGGCAUGUUUCAGCUCGUACCAACUGAAUCAGGUUGGGUCAUGGGAGCGUCUCAAAUUAUAUUCACUUGCUGUUUUUCCUUCAUUCUUGAACAAGAAGCCUGCAAAAUGAUCUGCAUGUAAGUCUUUUUCUGUUUGCUCUCAUUUAUAGAUUAAUUUGACAAUAAUGCAUCAAAGGAAUCGUUCCACAUUUUGGGCAAUAAUCUGGUCUCCUGCCAACCUCUCAGUGAAGAGAAGACUCUUGGAAGUCUUUGUGGUCAGCCGAGAAGUAGUCUGGCGCAGAACUUUGUAAAACCAAAACCUGUUUUUAUUGUGUAAAAAAUAUACUCCCGUUUAUUCCUCAAUAAUUGACUACUGUUUGAGAUGUGACAACGUGAUUUCAUUUUCCCCAUUUCCAGUCAUUAUGCUAAGAUGCUCUUCUCCUAGCUGCGAAUUCGAAUUUAACGGACAAGUGUGAGAGCGAUAUCAAUCUUUUAUGUAACUCUCAUUGAGGAAGCGAAUAAGAGUAUUUCCCAAAAUGAAAAACUUUUACUGAAAAAAUGUAUCUAUAAGAGAAGAGAAAACGCCUUUAAAUAAUGAUGUACAGUAUUUAGCGGAUGUCAUGCUUUAGAAAAGAACAGUUACAUGUGUUUGCAAGACGACCACCUCAUGAUUUCAGAAAGUGCCUGAGAUCAAAGUGUCUCAACCUCAUCAGUUAAAAGGUCAAGAAAAUAAAAAUAGAAAAAACAGUGAGAGUAUCUUUAUAAAGCCACGAGUCCCACAGGAUAGUGGAAGAAGAAUGAUGGGACUGGAUUUCUGUUUCAUGGCUUAAUAAAGUCAAUUAGCUUGGGUGAACAAACUUAAGCACAUGGACAAGUCGUAUGAAUGUAUUAUCCCUUAUUCUUUACUCAUCUUUCUUAAAGCUAUGUACCUCUAUUUGUUAUGUUUUGUUCAUGUGUAUGCUAAAUCUAUUUAAACCUAUUGAUUUGUCACUUGUGGGUGACAAAUUGGGUAAACGUUUGUCAGGCUGCGGUUCGGUUAAAAAACAUUAAAUGAAUACAAGAUGAAACGGAUAUAUUUGGAUGUUCUGUCUUGGUUUGUAUCAUACCAUAUUAAUGGUAAUAUAUUGAAUUACGCCUUUGGUGCACAUAAGCUACAUUCAUUAAUGCUACGCAUAUACACAUUUUGAAAAAACUUUCAGCUUCAUGACUUCUGGAACAAAAUACUUUUACAGAAGUGAAACGCUUCUAGCACGAAUAAAAUAAUCUUUGAAAAUCUAUAUUGUCCUGUAUCUGACAGCUGCGUGCGAUUAGAACAGAGCCUGGAAGAAGAAGAGGGAGUAAGAAGCCUCACUGAAAGAGGCUACAGCGUUACAUCCUGUCAGACAUAUUUCUGUCUCGCAGGAAUAAUCCGAAGAAGGGAGAAAAAAAGAGCAGCACCAAGACACAGAAACCAAAUCACUCUAAACAAAUGUAUUUUUAUUCCAUCUCCUUUUGCUUUUUAAUCAUGUGUGUCAGGAUAAUUUCCCACUCCAUUACGAGUGCUUUGUGACUGGUAACAUACUGGAACAAUCCUGUUGAAGGGGAAAAAACUGGACUGAAAACAUCUUGCUGUCACUUUUUCUUUAAAUAGGCGAUGAACCAAGAAAAAAAAAAACAGCCUUUGUCUAAAGAACCCCAGCUGCUUAAAUUCACACGUACCCAAAGCCUGCUUUAAGCUAUUGUUUCACCUGCCUCCAGCAGCCAGGCAGCCUUGGAAAUCAUUGCCUCUGCUGAAGCUGAAACACGCUUGGUGAACAAUGCGCAGGAGAUCGUGGUGCAUCACAGAUGGACGGUUCAGGUGAGCAGAUUGUCUGCGCAGACGUUCCGUCUCUAUCUGAACUGAGCUGACAAUCGUUUUGAUGGUUUCACAGAAAAGCUGUGAGGCCGAUUAAUCCAUCAGCAACACAAGCCACACCGAAAUCAACGAGACACACUCAAGACUGGCAACAUCGGGCUGCUUCUGGAAUGAUUGAGAAGCAAUUCAAACCUGUGGCAGGAAAAUCAUGUUAAAAUGGAGCGCCGCAUUGCAAGGAAUUUCUUUCAGUAGGACACAAACCCACCGAGGUUUUUCCCCAAUAAUCAAAUCAACAGAACACAGAAUAUUUCAUUACAAAACGGCCGCUUUCAAGUAUGAUGACACCCGAUGUGAAAAAACUCAACUCGACAGGGAAAAGGGGUCAAAUGUGUAAUCUGUUUUUGUGGAAAUAACUAGUUUUGCUGUAAUUAAAUCAUAACAGUGUUUAAGAGUUCCAAAGCUUGACAGAGAAAGGGAAACAAGGCAACGCCUUUUCUACCUCACCAGGUCACAGUUGGCUCCGGAGUUUGAAUGUCGUGACUUCACUGAAUCCAAAAUCCGCCCACAAUUAGGGAUCUGAUAGGAUUUCCCUAUCAGAUGUGUCCAGUAUAGAAUCCCCGUCACAAAGGGUGCACAUAUCAAGCUGCCUUUUUAAAAAAUGUAUUCAUGCAGAGGAAUAAAUCCUGUGAUCAAAAUUGGGGAACAAGCUAGAAGGCCAUGACUAAUCCUGAUAACAAUGUAAAACUUAAAAGUUUAAAAAGUCAGGUUUGGGGUGAAUGUUUUUUAUGGAUGGGAAAGGUUUUAGUUGCUCUAUGCUAAAGUUGACACAUGUUUUCAGAGUUCUAAAUGGAGAUUGGUUAUUCUUGCUGGUGAGGUGAAGAGGAUUACAGGAGGUGCAAUAAAUAUACUUUUCAAUAGAUUUGAAGAGGGAUUUCCUGGAGCGUUUCCCUACUUCUGAAAGUCUAACUGAUUCAAAUCCAAUACUGUUUGGAAAGGUUCUAUUUAUUUAUGAAAGUUUUAUUUGUAAAUAUGUGGGGUUACAUUUUAAAAUACAUUGGGUUUAUUAAGAAAAUCAUAUUAAUUGUAUGUAUUUUGAGUUAAUUGAGUUGAUCGCAUAAACCUAAUCGUUAUGAAUAUCAGAAAUAAGCUCUAUUAACAGUGAAUACAAACACAUGUUUAUCAAUUUAAAACAAACUGGCUCAUUCAUGGUAAAAGCAUAUACCAAUUUAUUGUAUAUUUAAAACUCAUUUGGCUUACUGGUAUUUUUUUAAAUAAAUGUAAUUCUUACUUGGUUGUUACUUGAAGUUAUUUUGACCAGCAAAUGUAAUUAUCACUUAAAAUGUAAUUCCAAUGGAUGGACAUUUUAUAUGCAAAUGAAUACAUACGUCUUAAUUAUUAGGCCUAUGUAUUUAUUUGCGUUGAAUGUAUUUAACAAUAAGGUAAUUUUAAAAAUGAAACUAUAACCUGGCAAGCGGAGAGUAUAUAAAUCAGUUUCCCCUCACUAUGCGAGAGCAUAAGAAACUAAACUCUUUAUUAAAGGAGAAGGAAAAGUGCAG